UACGGAGGGUGCAAGCGUUAUCCGGAUUUACUGGGUUUAAAGGGAGCGCAGGCGGAUUGGUAAGUCAGUGGUGAAAUACCCGUGCUUAACAUGGGACUGCCAUUGAUACUAUCAGUCUUGAAUGUUGUUGAGGUUUGCGGAAUGGGUCAUGGUAGCGGUGAAAUGCAUAGAUAUGACCCGGAACCACCUAUUGCGAAGGCAGCAGGCUAAACAAAUAUUGACGCUGAGGCUCGAAAGCGUGGGGAUCAAACAGG
rnacentral:rRNA from 1 species